GAAACGGUGUAUUUUAGAUAGAAGAUUAUGUGCUCUGCAAGCAUAAGGUGAGUGUUUUGCUCCGUCGUU
rnacentral:tRNA from 1 species